UCUCUGAUAGUAUAUCGGUUAGUACACGCGCCUGUCAGCUUUGCGGUUGUGCGCGCGAAAGCUGGGUUCGACUCCCAGUCAGAGAG